CGGGGUCCUGUAUGAUCACUGAAGCUAAGCAACGUCGAGCCUGGUCAGUACCAAGAUGGGUGACCACUUGGGAAUACCAGAUGCUGUAAG